rnacentral:rRNA from 1 species
AUUGAACGCUGGCGGCAGGCCUAACACAUGCAAGUCGAGCGGAUGAGGGGUGCUUGCACCCCGAUUCAGCGGCGGACGGGUGAGUAAUGCCUAGGAAUCUGCCCGAUAGUGGGGGACCACGUUUCGAAAGGAACGCUAAUACCGCAUACGUCCCACGGGAGAAAGUGGGGGAUCUUCGGACCUCACGCUAACAGAUGAGCCUAGGUCGGAUUAGCUAGUAGGUGAGGUAAUGGCUCACCUAGGCGACGAUCCGUAACUGGUCUGAGAGGAUGAUCAGUCACACUGGAACUGAGACACGGUCCAGACUCCUACGGGAGGCAGCAGUGGGGAAUAUUGGACAAUGGGCGAAAGCCUGAUCCAGCCAUGCCGCGUGUGUGAAGAAGGUCUUCGGAUUGUAAAGCACUUUAAGUUGGGAGGAAGGGUAUUCACCUAAUACGUGGGUACUUUGACGUUACCAACAGAAUAAGCACCGGCUAACUCUGUGCCAGCAGCCGCAGUAAGAC